UACAGAGGUCUCAAGCGUUUGUUCGGAUUCAUUGGGCGUAAAGGGUGCGUAGGCGGCGCGGUAAGUCGGGUGUGAAAUCUCGGAGCUUAACUCCGAAACUGCAUUCGAUACUGCCGUGCUUGAGGACUGGAGAGGAGACUGGAAUUUACGGUGUAGCGGUGAAAUGCGCAGAUAUCGGGAGGAACACCCGUAGCGAAGGCGGCACUCUGGGCCGGAACUGACGCUGAGGAGCGAAAGCGUGGGGAGCAAACAGG
rnacentral:rRNA from 1 species